ensembl:rRNA 5S_rRNA 5S ribosomal RNA
GCCUACGGCCACACCACCCUGAAAAUGCCCGAUCUCGUCUGAUCUCGGAAGCUAAGCAGGGUCGGGUUGGGUUAGUACUUGGAUGGGAGACCGCCUUGGAAUCUCGGGUGCUGUAGGCU